GUGGAUUAGAUACCCUGGUAGUCCACGCCCUAAACGAUGCGAACUGGAUGUUGGGCUCAACUCGGAGCUCAGUGUCGAAGCUAACGCGUUAAGUUCGCCGCCUGGGGAGUACGGUCGCAAGACUGAAACUCAAAGGAAUUGACGGGGGCCCGCACAAGCGGUGGAGUAUGUGGUUUAAUUCGAUGCAACGCGCAGAACCUUACCUGGCCUUGACAUGUCCGGAAUCCUGCAGAGAUGCGGGAGUGCCUUCGGGAAUCGGAACACAGGUGCUGCACGGCUGUCGACAGCU
rnacentral:rRNA from 1 species